AUUGAACGCUGGCGGCAUGCCUUACACAUGCAAGUCGAACGGUAACAGGUCUUCGGAUGCUGACGAGUGGCGAACGGGUGAGUAAUACAUCGGAACGUGCCCGAUCGUGGGGGAUAACGAAGCGAAAGCUUUGCUAAUACCGCAUAAGAUCUACGGAUGAAAGCAGGGGACCGCAAGGCCUUGCGCGAACGGAGCGGCCGAUGGCAGAUUAGGUAGUUGGUGGGAUAAAAGCUUACCAAGCCGACGAUCUGUAGCUGGUCUGAGAGGACGACCAGCCACAUUGGGACUGAGACACGGCCCAGACUCCUACGGGAGGCAGCAGUGGGGAAUUUUGGACAAUGGGCGAAAGCCUGAUCCAGCCAUGCCGCGUGCAGGAUGAAGGCCUUCGGGUUGUAAACUGCUUUUGUACGGAACGAAAAGACUCUGGUUAAUACCUGGGGUCCAUGACGGUACCGUAAGAAUAAGCACCGGCUAACUACGUG
rnacentral:rRNA from 1 species